AAGACUAUAGACCUGCGGAGACCUGCGGAAGGAUCAUUAUCGUAUUGUAACAAUUGGGGGGGCCACCGUGGGCUGUCGCUGACCCUUUGAAAGGGGGGUCGUGCACGCCCCCAUAGUGUCAUCCUCAUACAAUCCAACUCACCUCUGUGCAUCACCGCGUGGGUUCCUUUCUGGGUCGAGUCAGACUGGCUCAGAAAAAAGGGGCUUGCGUUUUCCAUACAAAUACCCUUAUAAAUCCAG
rnacentral:misc_RNA from 1 species